rnacentral:rRNA from 2 species
GAAUAAUUUCGAUGAUCGCAUGGUCUUGUACCGGCGACGUCUCGUUCGAGUAUCUGCCCUAUCAACUUUCGAUGGUAGUUUCAUCGACUACCAUGGUUGUAACGGGUAACGGAGGAUAAGGGUUNGACUCCGGAGAGGGAGCCUGAGAAACGGSUACCACAUCCAAGGAAGGCAGCAGGCGCGUAAAUUACCCACUCUCAAUUCGAGGAGGUAGUGACUGUCAAUAACGAGGCAGAUCUCUUUGAGGCCUGCUAUCGGAAUGGGUACAAUUUAAACCCUUUAACGAGGAUCUAUGAGAGGGCAAGUCUGGUGCCAGCAGCCGCGGUAAUUCCAGCUCUCAAAGUAUAUAUCGUCAUUGCUGCGGUUAAAAAGCUCGUAGUUGGAUCUGAGUCUCUGGACGUGGUGCUCCUUGUGAGCAACUGCGAUCCGUGACUGUUUAUUCGGUUUGCCUCGGUUUGCCUUUACCGGUAGGCCGGGGUGGCUGAAACUCUACCUUGAAUAAAUCAAAGUGUUCAUCACAGGCGUUUUGCCUGAAUGUUCGUGCAUGGAAUAAUGGAAUAAGACUUCGGUUCGUUCUGUUGGUCUUGGAAUCGAUGUAAUGGUUAAGAGGGACUGACGGGGGCAUCCGUAUCGCUGCGUGAGAGG